rnacentral:lncRNA from 1 species
GGUUUUGUUUCUGGGAGCUCACGAAGCAACUUCCCAGGGUGGUCACCCAUCCUGGGAUUGCUCCAGCCUCCCACUCGCUUAACUUCGGAGUUCUUACAACUCCGAAGCCAGUGAGCUCCCAAAAGGCCUCGUGCUAGAUGGAUGCGGGUGUGCACAUAUAAGGCACAUCACCCCCUCUCCGUUUGGUUUGAUGUGGGAUCUUACAAUCCACCCCCCUUAAGGGUCCGACGUCCUCGUCGGCACACUCGCACCACACGGCAGAGUGGCUCUGAUACCAAAUUGUCACACCCCGGACCGGCUCCGCCGUAGCACGAUAUUGUCCGCUUUGGGCCCUCCUCUCACUGCCCGCACGGUUUUGUUUCUGGGAGCUCACGAAGCAACUUCCCAGGGUGGUCACCCAUCCUGGGAUUGCUCCAGCCUCCCACUCGCUUAACUUCGGAGUUCUUACAACUCCGAAGCCAGUGAGCUCCCAAAAGGCCUCGUGCUAGAUGGAUGCGGGUGUGCACAUAUAAGGCAC